rnacentral:rRNA from 1 species
UACGAAGGGUGCUAGCGUUGUUCGGAAUGACUGGGCGUAAAGGGUGCGUAGGCGGCCAGAAACGUCUGAUGUGAAAUCCCUGGGCUUAACCUAGGAACUGCAUUGGAUACGGUCUGGCUAGAGUCCGCGAGAGGAAGAUGGAAUUGUGUGUGUAGAGGUGAAAUUCGUAGAUAUGCACAAGAACACCGGUGGCGAAGGCGAUCUUCUGGAGCGGUACUGACGCUAAGGCACGAAAGCGUGGGGAGCAAACAGG